rnacentral:rRNA from 1 species
AGAGUUUGAUCAUGGCUCAGAACGAACGCUGGCGGCAGGCCUAAUACAUGCAAGUCUAACGGGCGUAGCAAUACGUCAGUGGCGGACGGGUGAGUAACACGUGGGAAUAUGCCCCGAGGUACGGAACAACUCAGGGAAACUUGAGCUAAUACCGUAUGAUCCGGCAACGGCAAAGAUUUAUCGCCUUGGGAUUAGCCCGCGUCCGAUUAGCUAGUUGGUGAGGUAAAGGCCCACCAAGGCACCGAUCGGUAGCUGGUUUGAGAGAACGACCAGCCACACUGGGACUGAGACACGGCCCAGACUCCUACGGGAGGCAGCAGUAGGGAAUCUUGGACAAUGGGGGAAACCCUGAUCCAGCCAUGCCGCGUGAGUGAUGAAGGCCUUCGGGUUGUAAAACUCUUUCGGCGGGGACGAUAAUGACGGUACCCGCAGAAGAAGCUCCGGCUAACUUCGUGCCAGCAGCCGCGGUAAUACGAAGGGGGCUAGCGUUGUUCGGAAUUACUGGGCGUAAAGCGCGCGCAGGCGGCCUUUCAAGUCAGGGGUGAAAGCCCGGAGCUCAACUCCGGAAUUGCCUUUGAAACUGUCAGGCUCGAGUACGGGAGAGGUGAGUGGAAUUCCCAGUGUAGAGGUGAAAUUCGUAGAUAUUGGGAAGAACACCGGUGGCGAAGGCGGCUCACUGGCCNNUUUCUGACGCUCAGGCGCGACAGCGUGGGGAUCAAACAGGAUUAGAUACCCCGGUAGUCC